rnacentral:lncRNA from 1 species
CUGGCCAGAUUAAACCACCACAGGCUUCAAGGAAUCUGUUUUGAAAACAAAGCAUGAGAUACACAACUGUGGAAGUGUCUCAGAGGAAAGUGUCACAAUGCCCACUGCAAGGGCACAGGGAAGGUCACCUUGCAAGGACACAGAUGGCCUGGCUCAGUGAGUUCACCAUCGAGCACUGCAUCAGGUGGAGGUGGGAGAGGCGGUGCCCAGUCAUUAAUAUCUUGUUCCUCCGACUCAUUUUUGAAAUUGCAGGCACAGUCAAUUCUGAUGAGCUUAAUGAAUUUAUUUUUUAAUUGAACUAGUAUAUGAUGUAAAAUAAAACAUCAGAGAGUAUCACACCUUGUGAAAUUAAGUUUUCUUCAGUGAAACUCUUCUUUCGAUUUUUCAAGAGUGUAUAGGUGUAUACGAGGUUGGAAUAUAAAAUAUAUUUUAUACCAAGAACUGAAUUAUAAAAUACAUGAAAACCACAAGUCACCGAUAUUCACUCAUCUUGCCUUUGAAAUGUGUUCACAAGGUUCCUCUUAUUUGUAAUUUAUGUAUCAUGCACAUCUGCCUACUGGAGGGGAAAAUACUUAAUAGGUCUCAUUACUACCCAUGUCUGUGCCCGUGUCCUUGUGUGUGUGUGUGUGUGUGUGUGUGUGUGUGUGUGUGUAGUGUGUGCAUGUGUCUGAUCACAGGGACACAAACAAUACUCUCUUCUCUGUCCUGUGUUGCAAUUGCCCACUGCUCCAAGGCCCCAGGCCUAGAAUAAAGAUCUCAGUGCAAAUGCACCUGCGCAUGUCAUUCAAAUGAAAUUUGGGGGCGGGGGUUGUCACCAUGAGUAAAUGUGGACAGUAAGGCAAGGCGGGUGGAGUCUCAGGUACCUGAGAGUGCAGGGGCCACCUGGGCCAAUUCAGUUGUCCAACAAACAGUGCUGCCUCCAUCCUUGCCGGGAGCUUUCUAUUCCUUUUGUUCCACAACCGUUUCUUCCAUCACCUUCACCCCUACACUACUGAUACCUCUUCUCUGAAGAUGAAACCUUUCUUCCUCACUCCUGCCUUGUCCAUUCGCAAAUGUUGUGGAUGAGGUGCUGGAGCUCCAGGAACUGCAGGCUGGCGUCAGGAACCCUCCAAGGCUAUUCAUGCCCCGGUACUGUCUCUUCCUCCUUGCUUUUGGGUUCUUGGACUCUGUCCCAUCUGCUUCAUUCCCACACUCAGUUCUUCCCACUACUCAUCCUAAUUCUGUGAGGCAGCAGCUAUAUGAAGAGCUGGAAUCACCUGAGGGCAGAGUAAAGGUGUUACCACCCUGAUCAGGAGGAAAUGAUGAUAAUGCAGAGGCUGGAAUUGCCCUGUCCACCUUUACGAGCUUGGAGCAGGCUCUUUUCUGAAAAGCGUGUAUUGACGUCUAACAUGGGUGCUUAGGAUUCCAAAUCAUAGAAUUACCAUUAACCAACCUGGAACCUUCUCCAGAUGGAGCAGCUGUAAGAUGCCAGUGCCACCACCAGCACAGGUUCCUAAGUCAUUGUGUGGAGUACUAAGCUCCUCUUGUUGACCUGCACAAGAAGUGGGGGCAAAAAUAAAUUCUCCUCUCUGGCCAUUAAGAUAAGAUCGUUAUUAUUUAAUGCAGAAUAACAAAGUCAAAUUAGGUGGGAAUUACAAUCUGCUCCAGGUUUCAGACCAUACAUGGGGAGCAUGGAGACACACAAAGUUGAAAUAACAGGAUGGGGCAUUCAGAGAGAUGAGGCCACAGGAGUUUUCAGGGCGGAGUCCUGGAGAUGAGGUAAUGAUGCAGAGAGAGAGGGAGGAGAAAGAAAGACAAAAGUCCCAAUAAUAUGUACACACGCCCCAAAGUAUAUGGACAAAUACAGCUUCCCACAGUCAUUGCUGCAGUAGAAAGAUGUGAGCAGGUGCAAAGGGUGAAGAGAGCAAUAAUGUGCAUGAUCCAGGGCUCCAUGAGGCUAGGAAAUGUGCCAAGGGCCUAGUCAAACACACAGGAGAGGUGCUCCACCUGGAAUGGGUUCUGUCCUCUCCUUUCUUUUUGGACUCAGCUCUCUCUGCUGGACUCUGUCUAGCUUCAGUGAUGUCCAAAUCUCCUUUAUUCAAGAUUCCAGAUAGAGUUGCAUUCUGAUAUCCCCUCCCCAUCUCUCUGCCUCUUAGGGAGAGUUUACAUGUCACUUAGCAUGCAGUCUCUAAAAUUACAUGAUUCUGGGCUAUAAUCCCAGCACCUUGGGAGGCGAAGGUGGGAGGAUCACGUGAGGUCAGGAGUUUGAAACCAGCCUGGCCAACAUGGUGAAACCCCAUCUCUACUAAAAAUACAAAAAUUAGCUGGGUGUGGCAGCGCACACCUGUGAUCCCAGCUACUCGGGAGGCUGAGGCAGGAGAAUCACUUGAACCCAGGAGGUGGAGGUUGCAGUGAGCCGCGACUGCACCAAUGCACCACCGCACUCCAGCCUGGGCAAAAGAGUGAGACCCCGUCUCAAAAAUACAUAAAAUAAUUUUAAAAAUAAAAUUACGUGAUUCCUGGGUGAGCUGAGAGUGUGCUGGUGUGAAAAGCUCCACAAAUCUAGCCCCCAGCAAAACUAGUAAAAAUUACAAAAAAAAAACUAAAAAAUGAAAACAACCAUUUAAAGUCACUGAUAAUGGUCCCAAGGGCAUACAAUGAAUGACAUUUUACUCUCAUCCAGGAACUCAGUGCAGUUCAGAUAGAAUAAAUACAAAGAGAUCUACAGACACAUUAUAGUGAAAAUGCUGAAAGUUAAUCCCAAGGAAAAAAUUCUGAAAGCAGGAAGAGACAGCAGAAAGCAAAAGCUUUGAAAUUAAAAAGGAUCCUCUUAAACUCUUCAAUGGGAACCCCAGCAAGAUUAACUGCUGAUUCCUCAUCAAAAACAAUAUAGGCCAGGAAGAAGUGGGAUAAUAUGCGCAAUGUCCAAAUUUUAAAAAUUCUCAACCAAGAUUCCUAUAACAUAGCACAGCUAUGUUUCUAAAAUGAAGGUAUAAUAAAAACAUACCCAGAUUAACAAAACUGAAAGAAUAUGUCGCUGGAAUAUCUGCCUCAUAAGAAAUCAAAAGAGAAAUUCAUCAGGCUGGAAGCAAGUGAUCCCAGACAGUAAAUCAAAAUCACACACAAAAAACAUAGGGCACCAUAAAAGGUAAAUAUGAAACUACAAAAGGCAGUAUAAGUGCACAUUCUUCUAUUUUCUUCUCUUAACCGAUGUAGAAAGCAGUUGUAUAAAACUGCAUAUAUACAAUGCAUUCUUCUUCCUGUACCAUAUAUAAAUGUAAUGUGUUCACCAAUAAGAGUACGAAGGAGGUCAUGGGAGCAAAGCUGUAUUGGGUUGAGAAAAUGGCUCCAAAUAUUAACUCAAAUUUAUAAACCAAAUGAAGAGAACCAAAAACGAAGACCAGACAGCAGACAGGCCCGGCAUGCAGGCCCCAGUGCCAGCUGAGCCUCCCAGCUGGGCCUGAAGGACGUACAGCGGGCAGCCCCGGCAGGCCGGCCCUGUAGGCAGCUUAGAGGGCAACCCCGGCAGGCGGGCCCUGCAGGCAGGACAGCGAGCAGCUCAGGCUGGCGGGCCCUGCAGGCAGGAGAGCGGGCAGACCCGGCAGGCGGUCCCCGGGGCCAGCUGAGCCUCCCAGCCGGGCCUGCAGGCAGGAGAGCGGGCAAUCCCGGAAGGCGGGCCCUGCAGGCAGGACAGCGGGCAGCUCAGCCUGGUGGUCCAUGCAGGCAGGACAGCAGGCAGGCCCCGGGGCCAGCUGAGCCUCCCAGCAGCGCCUGCAGGCAGGAGAGCGGGCAAUCCCGGCAGGCGGCCCCUGCAGACAGGACCGCGGGCAGCCCAGGCUGGCGAGCCCUGAAGGCAGGACAGUGGACAGGCCCGGCAUGCGGGCCCCGGGGCCAGCUGAGCCUCCCAGCCAGGCCUGAAGGACGUACAGCGGGCAGCCCCGGCAGGCAGGCCCUCUAGGCAGCAUAGAGGGCAACCCCGGCCUGUUUUCCAGGGACGAGUUCCACGAGGAAGAUGGGGUGCUGGGUGAUGGCCCAGUUGUCUUUGCAAUAAAUUAGGCGUUCCACACUUGGAAGCAGAAAAUAGGACUCCCCUCUGAAAGAGCACCCUUCUGGCCUGAACCUUCUCACUGGAGCUUCAGAGCAGAAUCACAGAAAGGCAUAGAUCCUAGUUUUGCAUGACCCAAGCAGUUAUUGAUCCUACUCCCUAGAAUGCACGGUAUUUGAUUGAUAAUAGCUCAUUCAAUAGCUAUUAACAACUGGUGCUUUUGGAAGGUUUAGGCCAACUUUCAGAAAGGAGAGGUGAGUUUGAGAAGACUAGGCAGGGGCCUAGGAAAUGUUGCUUAUAGGAGGGAGCUUGAAGGUGUCAUCUGGGGUGUAGGAAUGACCUGUCCUACCGUAGACAGUGCUCCCUAAACAGUCGUCCCAUUCCUUCAAUCUCCCCUAAUUGUCCCGUGUCUGAGCUGUCUUAAACAUAGUCUAGCACGAAAUUUGGUAUCUACAGAUAUGUUGAUGCUCCCUCUGUCCUAAUAGUUCUUCCUGGUAGUUCAGGAAGUUUGCCGAGGUAUUUCUACGUUAGAUGGAGCAAUUGGAUUUGAGAAGUUAUUUACUUGCCCAAGAUCACUUGAUCUGUAGAUGUUAGGCAUCCCGACCUUUUGGCUGGUGUUACUCAUUUUGCCACAAGUCAAAACAAGUGUUUGUUUACUUUUUUUUUUUUUUUGAGACGGAGUCUCGCUCUGUCACCCAGGCUGGAGUGCAGUGGUGAGAUCUCGGCUCACUGCAAGUUCUGCCUCCCGGGUUCAUGGCAUUCUCCUGCCUCAGCCUCCUAUCUGGGACUACAGGCGCUCGCCACCAUGCCUGGCUAAUUUUCUGUAUUUUUAGUAGAGAUGAGGUUUCACCGUAUUAGCCAGGAUGGUCUCGAUCUUCGGACCUUGUGAUCCGCCCACUUCGGCCUCCCAUAGUGCUGGGAUUACAGGCGUGAGCCACUGCACCCGGCCGUGUUUGUUUACUUUUGAGAUUAUUUUUGCAACACUGACAGCAUAGAACAAACAUUGCUUUAAAAUAUUUUGCCUUAAACAUCCCUAUCCUUUUUUAUCCCCAACACUUUCUAUGGAUUAUGUGACUUCAAAGAGUUUCAUUUGAGGAAACACAAGUGUUUCCCACUUAAUGUCAGUAAUAUGUUCUUAAAAAUCAUAAAUUCUGCAUGAAAAUAAUGGGAGAUUAUUUGACAUUAAUAUGGGAAAAUUAGACUGUCAUACUGCUUCUCCAAACCUAUUUCUUAAAAUUUAAUAAAAUGAAGUACAAUGCUCCCUUGUA